AGCUCCAAUAGCGUAUAUUAAAGUUGUUGCAGUUAAAAAGCUCGUAGUUGGAUUUCUGAAUGAAAUAUCCGGUCCGCUUGUCUUUGAUGAGUGUGUACUUUAGAUAUUUGGUUCAUUUUUUGUGAGGAAAUUUAUCUGUCAUUAAGUUGAUGGAUUUAUAGACUUGCAUCAUUUACUGUGAAAAAAUUAGAGUGUUUAAAACAGGCGUUUGCCCAUUUGAAUACAUUAGCAUGGAAUAAUAAGAUAUGACUUUGGUGGUCUAUUUUGUUGGUUUGCACACCAGAGUAAUGAUUAAUAGGGACAGUUGGGGGUAUUCAUAUUUCAACGUCAGAGGUGAAAUUCUUAGAUCGUUGAAAGAUGAGCUUAGGCGAAAGCAUUUACCAUGGAUGUUUUCAUUAAU
rnacentral:rRNA from 1 species